AUUAACUGUUGUAAUUAAAUUUUUUAGAUUUCAGUUAAGCGUAUUUGUUUAGCAAGGAAGCUCUUUCCGCGACCUUGGGGCAUGAACCCGCAACCCUUACUAUCGCAGCUAUACUCACUUAAAACUUUUAGUCUUUAGUUGAUCACGGCUUUACUCAAUCCCAUGCUUUAAAAAAUUAUCCCUAACAUGUUUUUAUGCCCUAUGACUAACCUGUGUGCUGAAUGCAUAGUUAUAAGUUUUUGUCUGAUUUAAAUAAAGCAAGAUGCGGUUUUAGAAUGCCGUCAAUUUUCUACGGAUGUUUUAACUUCUAUUGAACUAGAUUUGACUUAUUUAGUUAUGUGAAGAAAAUAAUACUAAUUUUUUUCUAGAUAAUAGCAUUAAUCAAUGAGAAUGCGGGAUUGCAAAUAUUGAUAGCACUUCACUAUCAGUAAUGUUCAAUUAGAAGGUUUAAGAUAAUUUUAGAACUGGUGAAUAAUUUGAUUCUAAAAGAAGACCAGCAAAAAAGGGGGCUACAAUCACGUGAUGGAAAAAGCUAUGAUAUGCUUUGGAAUCUGGUUCAUGAUUGUUGGACUCACUAUAUCUUGUUUUAGCCUAUAUGCUUCAUAUUAUUUCAGCUGGGCAUGCUUAACCGAGUUCCUACCGGGAAUGUUGGCGUUCAUCAUUGGAGUUCACAUGCUUAAUAUAUGCCGGAAAUCUAAUUCUAAACCGGAGAGUGAAAUAACAGAUAGCAACAGAGAAUCUCCAUUCUAUUAUGAAUUAGAGCCAAGUCUGCCGCCAAGAUCCCUACCACCAAUACCAAGAGACAUUGGUCGGGAUUAUGACCCUAUUAUUCAAGACAAAGUUUAAAACCUCAAACUGUGAACGUAAUUUUAAAUGUAAAGAAUGCUUUAGUGGGAAACGCGUCUCAUAAGUUUUACAAAUAUGCAAAAACGAACAACUUAGUUUUGAAACUUAGAGAUAUUUUUCUCUAAUGUGAAGGGGACUAAAAUCCUUAACAUAUCGUAUGUAUUUAAAUAAAUUUCGAUAUUAUGGAAAUUAGAUUGGAGAAUGGGGUGUUAAAAUUGAGACAAAUCCACGUUUUGAAAUUGCCUAAUAUGAACACUUCUUUUAAUUGGUAUAAAUAUUUUUAAUGGGAAUAUGUUUGGAUGGGGUAUUUUUAAUACAAAUAAACUCAUAUUUUAUACGAAAUAUAUAAUGUGAUAUUAAUAUCUGAUCAAAAUUUUUAGCUUUGUGAUAAUUGUUUGUUUAUUCAUUUCUGUAAAUGUGUAUUUGUUGUCGUUUUGUGUCUCAAUUCAAAAUUAUAUACAUGUUUGUAAAUACUGCCAAAUGAGAACCUCGAUAAUGAAACGAAAUGCAUUUUGUAAUACAAUAAUUUAUGAAACAUUAAUUUUAUUUUAAAAAGUUCUAGUCAUCAGCAUUGACCAAUUUGCUACUUUUAUGCAGUGCCUUUUUAUCUAUUUUUGUAUAUUAAAUGCAUAUGGGAUCAUUUUUAUUUUGCAUAAACAUUUCUCGUUAUUUCAUAAAAAAGUAUGAAUUAAACAUUUAUUUACAAUUGUA
rnacentral:lncRNA from 1 species